rnacentral:RNase_P_RNA from 1 species
CGAGUCGGCCGGACGAUCGCUGUUGGAAGCGAGAACGCGUUCCCAAGAGAGGAAAGUCCGGGCUCCUUCGGACCUCGGCGGUGGAUAACGUCCACCAUCCAAGCGGCGUCCUCGGACGGCGCCAGGAUCGGGAAAGUGCAACAGAAAGCAAACCGCCGGGAGUAGUGGUUAGUGGUCAGUGGCUAGUUAGGAAUUCACUAGCCACUAGCCACUGACCACUAACCACUACUUUCGGUAAGGGUGAAACGGUGGGGUAAGAGCCCACCAGCAGUCGGGUGACCGGCUGGCUCGGCAAACCCCGCCGGGAGCAACGCCAAAUAUGGAAGCAGGAUUGGUCCGAUCCGCAAUGACUUCCGGGUAGGCGGCUCGAGCGCCGCGGCAACGCGACGCCUAGAUAAAUGAUCGUCGCGAGGCAACUCGCACAGAACCCGGCUUACAGGCCGGCUUGCAGA